rnacentral:rRNA from 1 species
CCCUACGGGGUGCACCAGGAGGCGUUGGUGCAGGGCCACAGGUUGCCAUAGGUGUUCGUCUGGGGCGGGAAUUCGAACCAAGGCUGCAUUUUGUAGAGCCAGCCGUCCGUGUCGUUCGGGAAGUACUGUUUCACCACGUCGGCAUUGGGGGUUUGUCCGUCUUCCAUCAGCGUGCCGCGGCGAUUACCAUUGACGUAAACCACCACGUACCGGCGAUUCAGCCAAGGCACCCCCAUGGCGCGCAGGAAAGUGUGGGCUACUUGCUCACGUUGAAGGGUAGCGUCGGUGAGGGCGCGGGUACCAUCGUCCUCCUCAUCUUUCAAGGUGCUCGGGUCGUUGCCCGGCGGGUGCAGCUUGUUGAGCGAAUUGGCGGGGGGGC